CUUCAACAGGUAGUGUUUGGCUAAACACCGUGAAAACUAUGGUGACCGCUUUGUUUCCUAUUCAGUAAAGCAAAAAGGCAAAUACUUAGUUUUAAGUCUUGUCUGAAUUCAGUUUUUGUGCUUUGUUCACCUGUCAAAUUUGAAAUGUCCAGAACUACCAACAUGCUCCAUGCAGACAACAAAUCUGAUAGGGAUUCAGAAAUCUUUCUUCUCAGUUAUUACCAGCAUUAUCUACUAGAGGCAACAAGUUUCUGCAGGCUUCAUGCUCCUGGUUCCUUAGCAGAAUGAAAUGCCACAGCUGUUGGGUGUAGCAGCUUGAGACACAGAGGUGACAGGCUGAGUGAUGCACUUCAGAGCAGCAAUUCUUCUUGCACUGCGUGAAAGAGCUUUCAACCUCUGCAGCAACAGGACUCAGAGGCACUUCUCACUGAGACUUUUUCACCUUGCUCUUGCUUUGCUUAUUUAGACCUCUUCCACAUCUUCCUUAAUGAUCACUACCCAGAUUUCACUUCGGUGGCCUGUUGAAUUGGAAGUUUUUCCUCAAAGAGUGCUCACCUAAAGAGGAUUAAGACCUUCCUACAACCCCCAGGCAUUUGUGAUUACAUGGGGCAAUGGACUCUUUCCACUGAGGAGACUACUUAAGGGAAAAGACACACUUAUUCUCUUUGGCAUUUCCUAUUGCUUGCAUGGACCUCGUCCAUCUUCCAGCAUUUACACUCAGAUUCUGCUGUUGCAAGUGCAGUGCAAUCACAGAGCUUGUCAGAGGGACCAAGCAGUCAUCUCCUUACAGUCUGAUCUUACAAAUUUUUUCACAGAAGCUUUGAUCCUAUAAAGUACCCCCCCAGAAGCGCAUCCUCGGUGUGUCUCCUGCAUGGGUAGCCAUCUGAGCUCUUUGUAGGCUGCAGCCUGAAAACCACAAGCUAAAGUUCAGAAAAUUGCCUACCAGACUCCUGUGGCUCUGUGAGAAAAGAGAAAACAAAAAUAAAAAUAAUAAAUUGUUAAGGGCA
rnacentral:lncRNA from 1 species